GCCGGAUUUGGGUUCUGGCGAGGAUGGUGGCGGCGGCCAUGGGUGGCCAGGGUUUGGAUUUGGGAAUUAGGGUUUCUGUUGGAGAUGGUGAUGACGUGGCAAGAUGGGCUAGGUGGCAUGUUCUGAGUGGUUAUUUGGUGUGCAGUAGGAUCAGUGACGUGGCAUUAUAUGGGUGGUUGGAUCUAUUAGUGGUAGGAGGGGUGUGUAUAGGAAAUUAGGGGUUACAGGAGAGAAAAUGCUUAGUGUUUGGGCUUAGUUGUUGGCCUGGUUUAGAAGAGAGGGGUGCAUGUAGGGAAAUUUGGGGGUGCAAGGGUAAAAUCUGACUGUUUGGCCCAUCUGUACAUUAUUUUCCAAACAAAACCUGAUUUUGGGUUUUAAAUUGCAAUUUGGACCAAUAAAAUUUCAAUUUCAGCUGCACAAAUAAAUAUUAGAACAUCCAAGAAUAAUUUAUGCAAUUAAAAUUACUUUUUAAGUCCCUUUUAUUUCCAAACAUGCAAACUUCAAUAAUCCCAAAUCCUCUUCAAAUCAACCAUUUAAGCACAAAUAUUCCAUCAAAAAUUUGAAUUUUAAAGCAUAAAUGUGGGCAUAAAUAUGCACUCAUUACACCCCCACACUUAUCCUUUUGCACUCCUGGGUAAAAUUGAUCAACUUCAAAACUUUGUUCUGGGUCAUUUUAUUCCAUAUUUGCAUUUGGAUCAAAAGAAUGAACAUCACCGGACAUAGAUCAAACAUCAAAAUAUCACUUUGUCAUGGACAUGUAAAUGAAAUCACUUUAUUCUUCACACAUGAGUGAAACUUUUUGAAUUCCCAAGAAAAUCAAGUAUGAAAGACAACACUCAAGUCAAAAUGUAUCUAUUUCUCUCCAAAUCUCUCAAGUGUUUUUGGCUUGUGUUUGCACUCAAAAUACCCAUGUAAGAAAGAGUAAUGACACUUUAUUUCAAAAACAACCUUAUUUCUUGCUCUUUUUAGGAAGAUUUUUUUUCUCUCCUUUUUUUUCAUCACUUUUUUUUCAAAACUUCAACUUUUCAUCUUCCUUUU
rnacentral:lncRNA from 1 species